GUGGCGCUGUCGAGCCAUUUUUGCCACACCCUCUUCUGAAGCCUAUAUCAGACGUAAAUUUUCACCAGGUCUGACGCGUGUGCAAAGUUUCAGGACUUUUCGAGCAUGUUUAGGCCCUCAAAAAUGCGAUUCAUUUUGGAGAAGAAGAAGAAGAAUAAUAAUAAUAAUUAAAGCUGCAAGCAGCGAUGAACGGGCCCUCGCACCCGGGCUCACCACCACCGGGUGGCUUUUGUAAAACAGCGAACGGCGAGAAAUAUGCGUUUAAUGUGGUAAAUAUAAGAGGAAUAUGCCAAAGUCAUUUAUAUGUGCCAAUCUUCCUGCUGCCAGCUGGUGGCGCUAUGACUAUAACUGGAUUUUGUCAUGUAGAUUUCUUCAGUCCAGCACUUUUAUCAAGCAUAUGAAAUUUAGGGCAGAUUGAACAUGGAAUGUUUGAGUUAGUAUAAAGUAUGUUGUGUCCUAUUGCCAACAGGUGGCGCUAUGAUUAUAACUGAAUAUUGGCCUUUAGAUAUCUUCAGGCCAUGACUCUUUCCAAAUAUUUGAAGUUUGGUGCAGAUUGGACAUUGCAUGUUUAAGUUAGUGUAAAAUAAGCCAUUUUCUGUUGUCAGCAGGUGGCGCUAUGAUUAUAGUGGAAUAAUGACCUUCAGAUGUGUUCAGG
ensembl:lncRNA